rnacentral:rRNA from 1 species
GGGGGGGGGGGGGGGGGGGGGGGGGGGGGGGGGGGGGGGGGGGGGGGGGGGGCGUGCGCCUCGGGGGUUGGCGGCGGGGGGGGGCGGGACGCGUGGAUACACUACCUGUACGACGGUUAUAACGUCGAGCCGGCGGAGCUCAUACGGGGUAAUAUAUUGAACCGAAUGGUUCAAUAGUUAAAUGCGGUUUUCGUGUCGCUUAUCGAUUGGCCCGCGCCGCAUUAGGGAGUUGGUAAGGUAACGGCGUACCAAGGCAACUAUGCGUCAGCGACCUAAGAGUGGGACCGGCCACACUGGAAGUGAGACACGGUCCAGACUAUUACGGGAGGCAGCAGUAGGGAAGCUUCAGCAAUGGGCGAAAGCAUGACGGAGCAACGCCGCGUGAGUGAUGAAGGUCUUAGGAUCGUAAAACUCUGUUAUUAGGGAAGAAGAAAUGUGUAAGUAACUAUGAACGUCUUGACGGUACCUAAUAAGAAAGCCACGGCUAACUACGUG